GAUGAACGCUAGCUACAGGCUUAACACAUGCAAGUCGCGGGGCAGCAUGGGGGUUGCUUGCAAUCCCCGAUGGCGACCGGCGCACGGGUGAGUAACGCGUAUCCAACCUGCCCUUCACCACGGGAUAACCCGGCGAAAGUCGGACUAAUACCGUAUGUUGUCCAUUGACGGCAUCCGAUUUGGACGAAAGGCUUGGCGGUGAGGGGUGGGGAUGCGUCCGAUUAGCCGGACGGCGGGGUAACGGCCCACCGUGGCUACGAUCGGUAGGGGUUCUGAGAGGAAGGUCCCCCACACUGGAACUGAGACACGGUCCAGACUCCUACGGGAGGCAGCAGUGAGGAAUAUUGGUCAAUGGGCGUAAGCCUGAACCAGCCAAGUAGCGUGCAGGAUGACGGCCCUAUGGGUUGUAAACUGCUUUUAUGCGGGGAUAAAGUGGCCCACGUGUGGGCUUUUGCAGGUACCGCAUGAAUAAGGACCGGCUAAUUCCGUG
rnacentral:rRNA from 1 species